AAGUCGUAACAAGGUUUCCGUAGGUGAACCUGCGGAAGGAUCAUUAUCGAGUUAGGGUCCGUUGGGCCCGAUCUCCAACCCUGUGUUUAAUUACCACGUUGCUUUGGCGGGCCCGUCUCACGACCGCCGGGGGUCUCUGGACCUCUGGCCCGUGCCCGUCAAUGGCCCCCUUAAACUCUUGACCAAACAUUGAUGUCUGAGUAACAAACUUAAUAGUUUAAAA
rnacentral:misc_RNA from 1 species